GAUGAACGCUGGCGGCGUGCCUAAUACAUGCAAGUCGAGCGAACGUCAUAGAAGCUUGCUUCUAUGACGUUAGCGGCGGACGGGUGAGUAACACGUGGGCAACCUGCCUGUAAGACUGGGAUAACUUCGGGAAACCGAAGCUAAUACCGGAUAGGAUCUUCUCCUUCAUGGGAGAUGAUUAAAAGAUGGCUUCGGCUAUCACUUACAGAUGGGCCCGCGGUGCAUUAGCUAGUUGGUGAGGCAACGGCUCACCAAGGCAACGAUGCAUGGCCGACCUGAGGGGGUGAUCGGCCACACUGGGACUGAGACACGGCCCAGACUCCUACGGGAGGCAGCAGUGGGGAAUCUUCGGAAAUGGACGAAAGUCUAACGGAGCAACGCCGCGUGAGUGAGGAAGGCUUUCGGGUCGUAAAACUUUGUUGUUAGGGAAGAAUAGGUACGAGAGUAACUGCUCGUACCUUGACGGUACCUAACCAGAAAGCCACGGCUAACUACGUGCCAGCCGCCGCGGUAACAC
rnacentral:rRNA from 1 species